AGAGGGCGUGAAACCGCUUAGAAGGAAACGAGAGGCGUCGCUUUUUGCCAGCGAGAUUCAGCUGUUUGUGUCGCUCGGCGGCAAGGCAGUGCAUUUUUCGCUGGUAAACGCUGAAAGCUGUGGCUGUUGCAGUCGGCUAGGUUUGGAGAAAGGCAUGUAUGUGCUGCUUCCGCUCCCUGCUAGCUGUGUUCGGCUACAGUUUGUGACAUUCUGCAUAGAUCGGUGUUGGUGCAGUCUGUCCCGCGUCUGUCCUAUUGGUGUUUUUCCGAGGGAUGGGCUGUGGGGCUUGCUGCGCCUGUCACCGAGUAGAUGUCGUUUCGGCGUCAAAGUCGGCCACCCUCCCGACCCGUCUUGAAACACGGACCAAGGAGUUUAACUUGUGCGCGAGUCAGUGGGUUUGUGAAACCUAGAGGCGAAAUGAAAGUGAAGGCUGGCUCGGUCGGCUGACACAUGAUCCGAACACUGUCACGGUGAUCGGCGCAAUGUGGUCCCAUCUUGAAUGCUUGCCAUUGAGGUGGAGAUAGAGCGUACAGGUUGAGACCCGAAAGAUGGUGAACUAUGCCUGAACAGGAUGAAGCCAGAGGAAACUCUGGUGGAAGUCCGAAGCGGUUCUGACGUGCAAAUCGA
rnacentral:rRNA from 1 species